rnacentral:rRNA from 1 species
UACGUAGGGUGCAAGCGUUGUCCGGAAUUAUUGGGCGUAAAGAGCGUGUAGGCGGUCCGGUAAGUCCGCUGUGAAAGUCGGGGGCUCAACCCUCGAAUGCCGGUGAAUACUGUCGGGCUAGAGUGCGGAAGAGGCGAGUGGAAUUCCUGGUGUAGCGGUGAAAUGCGCAGAUAUCAGGAGGAACACCUAUUGCGAAGGCAGCUCGCUGGGACGUAACUGACGCUGAGACGCGAAAGCGUGGGGAGCAAACAGG